rnacentral:misc_RNA from 1 species
GAUGAAGAACGUAGUGAAAUGCGAUACGUAAUGUGAAUUGCAGAAUUCAGUGAAUCAUCGAAUCUUUGAACGCACAUUGCGCCCGCCAGUAUUCUGGCGGGCAUGCCUGUUCGAGCGUCAUUUCAACCAUCAAGCCCCCGGCUUGUGUUGGGGACCUGCGGCUGCCGCAGGCCCUGAAAACCAGUGGCGGGCUCGCUAGUCACUCCGAGCGUAGUAAUACAUCUCGCUCAGGGCGUGCUGCGGGUUCCGGCCGUUAAAAAGCCUUAUUUACCCAAGGUUGACCUCGGAUCAGGUAGGAAGACCCGCUGAACUUAAGCAUAUCAAUAAGCGGAGGA